UACAGAGGGUGCGAGCGUUGUUCGGAAUUAUUGGGCGUAAAGCGCAUGUAGGUGGCCUGUUAAGUCGCUUGUGAAAGCCCCAGGCUCAACCUGGGAAGUGCGGGCGAAACUGGCGGGCUUGAGUGCCGGAGAGGGUGGCGGAAUUCCCGGUGUAGAGGUGAAAUUCGUAGAUAUCGGGAGGAACACCAGAGGCGAAGGCGGCCACCUGGAAGGCGACUGACACUGAGACGCGAAAGCGUGGGGAGCAAACAGG
rnacentral:rRNA from 1 species